rnacentral:rRNA from 1 species
UACGGAGGGUGCGAGCGUUGUCCGGAAUCAUUGGGCGUAAAGGGCGCGUAGGUGGCCCGGCAAGCGGGCGGUGAAAGUCGGGGGCUCAACCCCCGAUCGGCCGUGCGAACUGCGGGGCUGGAGCACUGUAGAGGCAGGCGGAAUUCCGGGUGUAGCGGUGGAAUGCGUAGAGAUCCGGAAGAACACCGGUGGCGAAGGCGGCCUGCUGGGCAGUCGUCCGCAAGGACGUUCAAGCUGACACUGAGGCGCGACAGCGUGGGGAGCAAACAGG